rnacentral:lncRNA from 1 species
UUACACAGUCAUAAUGUUAUUAUUUUUAUAAGUUUGAUGUGCGGUGUCGUAUUUUUUUUUCCGGAAAAACUUCCGACCUAUUCAUCUUCAAUUAUUGUAGUACAACAAACACAAAGAAAUAAUAAAAAUUACAUCCAGAUCCAUAGAUCACCUACCGACGAGUACAAGAACUGAAGCGAGCCGAAGACGCGCCGCUGUCAUCGCCCAUCUCUCGCCGGAGCCGAGCAAAACUUUUUGUAGUAGACAGUCAGAAAGUCGUCGUGCUACAGCCUCAUAGGACCAACGCAACAGAACAGCAACGACCGCUGUUCAAGAGUAGCGUUGAUCAGAAGAAUCCAACCUGAAGACACAAGAACAUAAACAAAUGACGACCAGAUCCGAGCAAAUCCACCAAAUACAGAUCUGCCAAAGACACACCUCCACACGCCCACCAGUGAUCCUAGAAGUACCACCGGAACGGGGCCUAGGCGGGGAGAAGCUUAUUCCAUCUUCAGGGAGCCGCCGCCAUCUCGCCUUCCUGAGCAGGACACAAGCCC